UACGGAGGGUGCGAGCGUUGUCCGGAAUUACUGGGCGUAAAGCGCACGUAGGCGGCUUUGUAAGUUAGAGGUGAAAGCCCGGGGCUCAACUCCGGAAUUGCCUUUAAGACUGCAUCGCUCGAAUUGUGGAGAGGUAAGUGGAAUUCCGAGUGUAGAGGUGAAAUUCGUAGAUAUUCGGAAGAACACCAGUGGCGAAGGCGACUUACUGGACACAUAUUGACGCUGAGGUGCGAAAGCGUGGGGAGCAAACAGG
rnacentral:rRNA from 1 species